AUUUUCAUUAAUACCAGGCUUAGUUCGAUCACAAAUAAACUUAAUUUAAAUAAUCUGCUCCUCGAGGGAAUUACAAAUGAGGCACUGAAGUCGACGGGCGACUUCCAAGCGAAGUUGACGAAAAUAUUGGAUAAAGAAAAUGCUCCUAUGCCAGCAAAAAUGGUACGCUUAUUAUUAGUAUCUUUAUUUAAAAAUAUACUAAAAAGUAAAUAAUUACUAGUGGAUAUAACUAAUAGUGCGCUCUAAUAUCAUUCAGAAGGAACAUUUCAAAUAUGAAUUUCUAUUAAAAGUUAGUUUA